rnacentral:rRNA from 1 species
UAAAUCAGCUAUGGUUCCUUGGUUCAGAUACCGUCCUAGUUCUGACCAUAAACGAUGCCGACUGAKGAUCCRAGGAGUCUUMAMUAUGNGAACCCUMRGKCAGUCACCGGGAAACCUGWAAGUCUAUGGGUUCCGGGGAAAGUAUGGUUGCAAAGCUGAAACUUAAAGAAAUUGACGGAAGGGCACCACCAGGAGUGAAGCUUGCGGCUUAAUUUGACUCAACACGGGUAAACUCACCCGGCCCGGACACUGUGAGGAUUGACAGAUUUAUGGCUCUUUCAUGAUUCGGUGGUUAGUGGUGCAUGGCCGUUCUUAGUUCGUGGUAUAAGUUGUCUGGUUAAUUCCGAUAACGAACGAGACUUCAUUCUGCUAAAUAGUACACGCGUAAAUUUGUGUAGUCACUGCUCGUCUGUGCCCUGUGUACGGAUGAGUGGGUGCUGCAUAAGCGUGUGAGACUUCUUAGAGGAACCGGUGUUCAUGUAAACCACACGAAAGGAAGCAAUAACAGGUCUGUGAUGCCCUUAGAUGUCCGGGGCCGCACGCGUGCUACAAUGACGGUGUUAGAGAGUUUGAUUUUCUCAUUCGAAAGGAUGGGGUAAACUUUUCAAUCACUGUCAUGACUGGGAUCGGGGUUUGUAACUAUCCCCCGUGAACGAGGAAUUCCUCGUAAGUACAAGUCACAAGCUUGUGCUGAUUACGUCCCUGCCCUUUGUACACACCGCCCGUCGCUACUACCGAAUUGAAUGKUUUAACAAGGUCAUUGGAUUGACACUCAUGCAGUGCCAAACUGCCGAGUGUUGAAAAGACGACCAAACUUGAUCAUUUUAAAGGAAAUAAAAAGUC